AGCGAACGCUGGCGGCAGGCCUAACACAUGCAAGUCGAACGAAGCCUUCGGGCUUAGUGGCGGGCGGGGGAGUAACACGUGGGAACGUACCUUUUGGUUCGGAAUAACGCAGAGAAAUUUGCGCUAAUACCGAAUGAGCCCUUCGGGGGAAAGAUUUAUCGCCGAAAGAUCGGCCCGCGUUGGAUUAGGUAGUUGGUGUGGUAAAGGCGCACCAAGCCUACGAUCCAUAGCUGGUCUGAGAGGAUGAUCAGCCACACUGGGACUGAGACACGGCCCAGACUCCUACGGGAGGCAGCAGUGGGGAAUCUUACGCAAUGGGCGAAAGCCUGACGCAGCCAUGCCGCGUGAAUGAUGAAGGUCUUAGGAUUGUAAAAUUCUUUUACCAGGGACGAUAAUGACGGUACCUGGAGAAAAAGCCCCGGCUAACUUCGUGCCAGCCGCCGCCGUAAGAC
rnacentral:rRNA from 1 species